UCUCCAUCAAGGGCAAAGCAUACUUAACCGACACCAGAUCGAGGGCUUUGCCAGAGUUUAAUGGCAACAAAAAGUGCCACCUUCAUAUCAAAAACCAGAUUAUCCAUAUUGAUAAGAGUAGGCCUUCGAAUCAAAAGAAUAACAGAAAUCCAUGAAUUAGUAAAAAUAUUAAUAGCCUUCCCAUUACCAAGCACCCAUUAGAAUUGAAAUUGUAAUUUAAAGCCAAUACUAAGAACUGACAAAGUGUAUAAUGGCAGGGA
rnacentral:lncRNA from 1 species